rnacentral:rRNA from 1 species
UGGGGAAUUUUGGACAAUGGGCGAAAGCCUGAUCCAGCAAUGCCGCGUGUGUGAAGAAGGCCUUCGGGUUGUAAAGCACUUUUGUCCGGAAAGAAAUCCUUGGCUCUAAUACAGUCGGGGGAUGACGGUACCGGAAGAAUAAGCACCGGCUAACUACGUGCCAGCAGCCGCGGUAAUACGUAGGGUGCAAGCGUUAAUCGGAAUUACUGGGCGUAAAGCGUGCGCAGGCGGUUUGCUAAGACCGAUGUGAAAUCCCCGGGCUCAACCUGGGAACUGCAUUGGUGACUGGCAGGCUAGAGUAUGGCAGAGGGGGGUAGAAUUCCACGUGUAGCAGUGAAAUGCGUAGAGAUGUGGAGGAAUACCGAUGGCGAAGGCAGCCCCCUGGGCCAAUACUGACGCUCAUGCACGAAAGCGUGGGGAGCAAACAGGAUUAGAUACCCUGGUAGUCCACGCCCUAAACGAUGUCACUAGUUGUUGGGGAUUCAUUUCCUUAGUAACGUAGCUAACGCGUGAAGUUGACCGCCUGGGGAGUACGGUCGCAAGAUUAAAACUCAAAGGAAUUGAC